rnacentral:rRNA from 1 species
ACGUAGGUGGCGAGCGUUGUCCGGAAUUACUGGGUGUAAAGGGAGCGCAGGCGGGGAAACAAGUCAGCUGUGAAAACUAUGGGCUUAACCCAUAAACUGCAGUUGAAACUGUUUUUCUUGAGUGGAGUAGAGGUAGACGGAAUUCCGAGUGUAGCGGUGAAAUGCGUAGAUAUUCGGAGGAACACCAGUGGUGAAGGCGGCCUACUGGGCUCUCACUGACGCUGAGGCGCGAAAGUGUGGGGAGCAAACAG